GACGAACGCUGGCGGCGUGCUUAACACAUGCAAGUCGAACGGAAAGGCCCUGCUUUUGUGGGGUGCUCGAGUGGCGAACGGGUGAGUAACACGUGAGUAACCUGCCCUUGACUUUGGGAUAACUUCAGGAAACUGGGGCUAAUACCGGAUAGGAGCUCCUGCUGCAUGGUGGGGGUUGGAAAGUUUCGGCGGUUGGGGAUGGACUCGCGGCUUAUCAGCUUGUUGGUGGGGUAGUGGCUUACCAAGGCUUUGACGGGUAGCCGGCCUGAGAGGGGGACCGGCCACAUUGGGACUGAGAUACGGCACAGACUCCUACGGGAGGCAGCAGUGGGGAAUAUUGCACAAUGGGCGGAAGCCUGAUGCAGCAACGCCGCGUGCGGGAUGACGGCCUUCGGGUUGUAAACCGCUUUCGCCUGUGACGAAGCGUGAGUGACGGUAAUGGGUAAAGAAGCACCGGCUAACUACGUG
rnacentral:rRNA from 1 species